ACGUAGGGGGCGAGCGUUGUCCGGAAUUACUGGGCGUAAAGGGUGCGUAGGCGGCAGACUAAGUCUUGUGUGAAAUACCCGGGCUCAACCCGGGGGUUGCAUGGGAAACUGGACUGCUUGAGUACAGGAGAGGCAAGCGGAAUUCCUAGUGUAGCGGUGAAAUGCGUAGAUAUUAGGAGGAACACCAGUGGCGAAGGCGGCUUGCUGGACUGAAACUGACGCUGAGGCACGAAAGCGUGGGGAGCAAACAG
rnacentral:rRNA from 1 species